rfam:Cucumis sativus cultivar 9930 chromosome 7, whole genome shotgun sequence.
UAUGAGGCAAUGAUGUGGAAAAACUACCUAUUUUCUGAAGGAAGUUCAUCUUCAUGUGAUUAUGAAAAUCACCAAUUGAUCCUUCUGAGCCCUAA